UCGCCGAUUAAAGUGGUACGUGAGCUGGGUUUAGACCGUCGUGAGACAGGUCGGUCCCUAUCUGCUGUGGGCGUACGAAACUUGAGGGAUUUUCUCUUUAGUACGAGAGGAUUUGGAGGGACGUACCUCUGGUGUUCCUGUUGUCUCGCUAGAGGCAGUGCAGGGUAGCUAAGUACGGUUAGGAUAAGCGCUGAAAGCAUCUAAGCGCGAAGCCAGUCCCAAGAUAAGGUUUCGAUUAGUCCCCUGGAAGACCACCAGGUUGAUAGGCCUUUAGUGUAAGUGGUGCAAGCCACUCAGCAGAAAGGUACUAACGGACGAACGCUUGACCAU
rnacentral:rRNA from 1 species